CAGAUACUCCCUCCGUUCGGAAUUACUUGUCUCGGAAAUGGAUGUAUCUAGAACUAAAAUACGUCUAAAUACAUCCAUUUUCACGACAAGUAAUUCCGAACGGAGGGAGUAUAUG
rnacentral:pre_miRNA from 1 species